ACUCCCUCUCCAGCCUCCUCGCCGCCCUCCCCGCCGGCGCACGCUGUCGUCGUCCCGUUCGCUUCCACCUGCGACAUUGGCGGCGCGAGCGCGGGGCAGACACGCCGCCGUCGUGGAGUGCGAUGCGGUGCUCAAGGCGCUGAGCCUGGUCUCUCCCAAGGGCGGCGACGCGCCGCGGCCCGCGGGGGCUCCGGGAGAAGCCCCGGCACUCUGAGAAGCCCACCAAGUACGUCGGCUGCCCGAGGAGCGGCAGCGCGCCCCGUGUCAUCAACCAGCCUCGCUAGGCUGCCAUGGCGAAGCUCCAUCCUUGAUGGGUAA
rnacentral:lncRNA from 1 species